GGGUUGUGAGGUUAAGCGACUAAGCGUACACGGUGGAUGCCCUGGCAGUCAGAGGCGAUGAAGGGCGUGCUAAUCUGCGAUAAGCGCCGGUAAGGUGAUAUGAACCGUUAUAACCGGCGAUACCCGAAUGGGGAAACCCAGUGUGACUCGUCACACUAUCAUUAACUGAAUCCAUAGGUUAAUGAGGCGAACCGGGGGAACUGAAACAUCUAAGUACCCCGAGGAAAAGAAAUCAACCGAGAUUCCCCCAGUAGCGGCGAGCGAACGGGGAGGAGCCCAGAGCCUGAAUCAGCAUGUGUGUUAGUGGAAGCGUCUGGAAAGGCGCGCGAUACAGGGUGACAGCCCCGUACACAAAAGCGCAUGUGCUGUGAGCUCGAUGAGUAGGGCGGGACACGUGGUAUCCUGUCUGAAUAUGGGGGGACCAUCCUCCAAGGCUAAAUACUCCUGACUGACCGAUAGUGAACCAGUACCGUGAGGGAAAGGCGAAAAGAACCCCGGCGAGGGGAGUGAAAAAGAACCUGAAACCGUGUACGUACAAGCAGUGGGAGCACAGGUUUACCUGUGUGACUGCGUACCUUUUGUAUAAUGGGUCAGCGACUUAUAUUCUGUAGCAAGGUUAACCGUAUAGGGGAGCCGGAGGGAAACCGAGUCUUAAUUGGGCGUUAAGUUGCAGGGUAUAGACCCGAAACCCGGUGAUCUAGCCAUGGGCAGGUUGAAGGUUGGGUAACACUAACUGGAGGACCGAACCGACUAAUGUUGAAAAAUUAGCGGAUGACCUGUGGCUGGGGGUGAAAGGCCAAUCAAACCGGGAGAUAGCUGGUUCUCCCCGAAAGCUAUUUAGGUAGCGCCUCGUGAAUUCAUCUCCGGGGGUAGAGCACUGUUUCGGCUAGGGGGCCAUCCCGGCUUACCAACCCGAUGCAAACUGCGAAUACCGGAGAAUGUUAUCACGGGAGACACACGGCGGGUGCUAACGUCCGUCGUGAAGAGGGAAACAACCCAGACCGCCAGCUAAGGUCCCAAAGUCAUGGUUAAGUGGGAAACGAUGUGGGAAGGCCCAGACAGCCAGGAUGUUGGCUUAGAAGCAGCCAUCAUUUAAAGAAAGCGUAAUAGCUCACUGGUCGAGUCGGCCUGCGCGGAAGAUGUAACGGGGCUAAACCAUGCACCGAAGCUGCGGCAGCGAACGUAUCACUUAAAGCGAUUCAGCGGAUGACGAUUGACGGAGCGAAGCGACGUCAAAGCGUAUACAAAGUCGAGUCGGUUUAAGGAUACGUUCGUUGGGUAGGGGAGCGUUCUGUAAGCCUGCGAAGGUGGCCUGUGAGGGUUGCUGGAGGUAUCAGAAGUGCGAAUGCUGACAUAAGUAACGAUAAAGCGGGUGAAAAGCCCGCUCGCCGGAAGACCAAGGGUUCCUGUCCAACGUUAAUCGGGGCAGGGUGAGUCGACCCCUAAGGCGAGGCCGAAAGGCGUAGUCGAUGGGAAACGGGUUAAUAUUCCCGUACUUGGUGUUACUGCGAAGGGGGGACGGAGAAGGCUAUGUUGGCCGGGCGACGGUUGUCCCGGUUUAAGCGUGUAGGUGUGUGUUCCAGGUAAAUCCGGUUCACUUUAACACUGAGGCGUGACGACGAGGCACUACGGUGCUGAAGCAACAAAUGCCCUGCUUCCAGGAAAAGCCUCUAAGCAUCAGGUAACAUCAAAUCGUACCCCAAACCGACACAGGUGGUCAGGUAGAGAAUACCAAGGCGCUUGAGAGAACUCGGGUGAAGGAACUAGGCAAAAUGGUGCCGUAACUUCGGGAGAAGGCACGCUGACAUGUAGGUGAAGUGAUUUACUCAUGGAGCUGAAGUCAGUCGAAGAUACCAGCUGGCUGCAACUGUUUAUUAAAAACACAGCACUGUGCAAACACGAAAGUGGACGUAUACGGUGUGACGCCUGCCCGGUGCCGGAAGGUUAAUUGAUGGGGUCAGCGCAAGCGAAGCUCCUGAUCGAAGCCCCGGUAAACGGCGGCCGUAACUAUAACGGUCCUAAGGUAGCGAAAUUCCUUGUCGGGUAAGUUCCGACCUGCACGAAUGGCGUAAUGAUGGCCAGGCUGUCUCCACCCGAGACUCAGUGAAAUUGAACUCGCUGUGAAGAUGCAGUGUACCCGCGGCAAGACGGAAAGACCCCGUGAACCUUUACUAUAGCUUGACACUGAACAUUGAGCCUUGAUGUGUAGGAUAGGUGGGAGGCUUUGAAGUGUGGACGCCAGUCUGCAUGGAGCCGACCUUGAAAUACCACCCUUUAAUGUUUGAUGUUCUAACGUGGACCCGUAAUCCGGGUUGCGGACAGUGUCUGGUGGGUAGUUUGACUGGGGCGGUCUCCUCCUAAAGAGUAACGGAGGAGCACGAAGGUUGGCUAAUCCUGGUCGGACAUCAGGAGGUUAGUGCAAUGGCAUAAGCCAGCUUGACUGCGAGCGUGACGGCGCGAGCAGGUGCGAAAGCAGGUCAUAGUGAUCCGGUGGUUCUGAAUGGAAGGGCCAUCGCUCAACGGAUAAAAGGUACUCCGGGGAUAACAGGCUGAUACCGCCCAAGAGUUCAUAUCGACGGCGGUGUUUGGCACCUCGAUGUCGGCUCAUCACAUCCUGGGGCUGAAGUAGGUCCCAAGGGUAUGGCUGUUCGCCAUUUAAAGUGGUACGCGAGCUGGGUUUAGAACGUCGUGAGACAGUUCGGUCCCUAUCUGCCGUGGGCGCUGGAGAACUGAGGGGGGCUGCUCCUAGUACGAGAGGACCGGAGUGGACGCAUCACUGGUGUUCGGGUUGUCAUGCCAAUGGCACUGCCCGGUAGCUAAAUGCGGAAGAGAUAAGUGCUGAAAGCAUCUAAGCACGAAACUUGCCCCGAGAUGAGUUCUCCCUGAGACUUAGAGUCUCCUGAAGGAACGUUGAAGACGACGACGUUGAUAGGCCGGGUGUGUAAGCGCAGCGAUGCGUUGAGCUAACCGGUACUAAUGAACCGUGAGGCUUAACCUUACAACGCCGAAG
rnacentral:rRNA from 1 species